ACAGUUACUCAUAUUUUGUAUUUUAAAUACGUAACGGCGAUACAUGUAUUCCGUUACUCCCCAACACUGCUAAUGAGGCAUUCGACCAGUUGAACAAUACCUAACAAAAUGGCUAGCAAGUGUAUAAUCAUCUCUUUUUUUGCCUUAAACCAGCUGGAAUUAAUACACAUCUCUGCUCUGUUUCUGUGUCAAACUAGUCCCUUUGCUCAGGCUCAAGGCAGGCUGGGUGAGUCAGUGUUUCAGUAAUGGAUGAGAGGGAGCCAAGACAUGAAGUUUAAUUACUGUGGCUUAAUAGCGCAAACAUGCAGAAAGGCUGGACUCCAGAGGAGAGAAGGACAGAGUGUUGGAGGGUAGGGGGUUAUGGCUUAAUCUAGCGAGAAGAGGAAUAAGAUGGAGAUAUCGUAUGAAAGGUGAAGAAGACGGGUUGGGGAAAAGACAGAAUUAAUAAGUGGCUCGAGUAAGAUAAAAAUAAGAAAUCUUGAAAGCACCCACAAAAAUGUAAAAAAAUAACACACCAAAUAUAAUUUCUCUUCCUACCUUGGUGGUCCACUGAAGGUUUGGAGGCACGGAGGAUCUUAGGAAUGGAGAAGCCCAUGUCUAGCUCUGUCAGAGUCAGCUCAUUCAUAACAUAUGGCAGCUAAAAGACAACAUGUACGAAAAAAGAUACAAAUACAGCCAACGCAAAGACAAAUCUCUAUCUCUAGAUGAAAUCUUCUUGCAUUUGGAUAUUAAUAACUAUAGCUACUGCUACUACUGCUACUACUCACCCUGAUCUUACUGAGCUUCAUUUGGAUCUUUUUGGAGACUACAUUGGCCCAAUAUUUCUCUCCCAGGAAGUCCCAGAAUAUCCUUCCCAGAAAUGCAUUUACCCAGGCCUCAGGCUCCGCAGUCUCCUCUGAACUCCUACGCAGCUAAAGGACACACAUACAUGUAUGAAUGGCAGUUUUGAAUAUCUAUAAUCAUUUUGUGCAUCAAGCUUGAGCUUGAUAUAUUGAGUUUGCUCCCAGCAACCCUUCAGUGAGAUUCACUGAGUUGCCAGUGGUUCUCUCUGGGGUAACUUCAGGUGACAACAGACUGAUUUAGUUGAUAUUGUGGUUUAGACGUGCAGACCCCAGGGGGGGCUUUUGAUAGAUGCCCACUUUGGAUGACUCUCUUUUUCUAUUCAGCCUGACAUGCAUCCAUCUGUCUCCUACCUUUUUGGUAGUCUGGGGGCUGCUAUCCGGGCUGUUCCCAGCGCUGUCAGUGGCAGUCGGGCUUCUAGGCGGCACCUGGGGACUCACGUAUUUGGCCAUGUAGACAUUAUAGUCCAACAGCAUCUUUUGCUUCAAGCCUGCAGUAGAGCCACAGGAGAGAGCGGCGGUGGUCUCUUUGUGACGAGACUGAGACUGAGACAGCUCCUCCAGGCUUCCCCGGCUGCUGCUCCUGCUGUCAGCCUCCAGGCCUCCGACAGAUUGAAUGCUGCUACUGCGACUGUGGGAGGGCCUCCUCCGCACAGGCUUACAUCCCACUGUGGAAAGUGAUGCUAUAAUACGCUGAUGCUCUGUGCUUGUAAUCCUGCUGACCCACCACACUCAUCGGUUCACUUAGUUGAGGGGAUUGGCAGUCCCUAAGCUGGGGCUUAUGCACAGAUCUGAUUGCUGCGCAGUUGCCUACUUAAUAGAACGGCUAUUCUGACAUCGAGGAAUGGCGCGUGUCUGUGCAAAUACAGGUGUGUAAAAAAAAGAAAGAAAGAAAGAACAUGGAUAACAAAUGCUUUACGUGUGUGUGUGUGUGUUUGCACCUUGAUCUGGGAGAGUGUGCAUAGCUGAGUCUGAAGCUCACCAUUCUUGCAGAUGCUAGGCAGACUGCCACCUCUCCCCUCUGAUUUCAUUCGGGAUGCUAGAAGAAAUCUACGGAACCACUCUUCCUUUUCCCGACCCGUCCUCCCGAAAAGGUAGAUAGUCAGAUCCCCGCCUCCAAAGCUUCAGGCCUCUCUCCCUGGGCCUUGGACAUGAAGUCAUCCUGCUUGGCCAGCUCAAUGCAAAUGGGGUAUUUUUUGUUCCAAACUCUCUUCCUAGCCAGGCUCUGAGGCAUCAGGUAUAUCUGUGGGGUAUAAAGACUGACUUCACUAAAUCAA